rnacentral:rRNA from 1 species
UACGUAGGGUGCGAGCGUUUAAUCGGAAUUACUGGGCGUAAAGCGUGCGCAGGCGGUUCGUCAAGUCUUGUGUGAAAGCCCCGGGCUCAACCUGGGAAUGGCAUGGGAAACUGGCGAGCUGGAGUGCGGCAGAGGGGGGUGGAAUUCCGCGUGUAGCAGUGAAAUGCGUAGAGAUGCGGAGGAACACCGAUGGCGAAGGCAGCCCCCUGGGUCAAGAUUGACGCUCAUGCACGAAAGCGUGGGGAGCAACAGG